rnacentral:misc_RNA from 1 species
GUACUCAGGGUCUGAUGAUGGAGCCAGAUGGUGGUCACCGGUACCAGUGAUCCAUGUAACUAAACCACUUCGUGUUUUUUAAUGUUACACACAUAUGCGAGUUGUUUUUUUAUGUCACUAAUUAUUUUUAUUGCAGUGUUACACUAUUGCGAGAUAUGGCCAAAGUAAAAAACAGGUACCCUUGUCUCAGGAAACGUAAGAGACGGAAUGAGAUAGCCGUUCAAAAAGCACGAGAAGCUCUUGCUGCUCGCAGAAAAGAGCUAUCGAAAUUACUUAACAAUGAUGCUUCUACUUCAGGGACUAACAUGGAAAAAAUCGGUACAUUUGAUAAAGAAGUUAAUAAAGAAAACACCUAUUUUGACACCGGCAAGAAUGAUGGAUUUGUUGAAUCAAAUGAUGAUUUUACGAUACAAGUUGAAGGUUCUCCUGCUUCUUGUGACGAAAAUAAGGAAGCUAAUAAAGAAAACAUCUAUUGUCAGAUUGGCAGGAAUGAUGCAUCUGUUGCAACCGAUGAAGUUUUAACGAUACAAUUUGAAGGCUCUCCUGCUUCAUGUGAUGAAAAUGAGGUGAAUUGUUUUUUUCGACUAAUUAUAAUUUUUAUCCAAAAUAGGCAGGUGUCCGGUGCUUUUCAUCCCUUAGCUCAGUAUAAACUCUUUACUAGUAUUUUAUACGUGCCUACUGCUACGUCAUAAGAUUUACUAAAAUUCUGUGUUAUAACUUAUUCUUUUUCAGAAACUUAAUAAUGAAAACGCCUUUUGUGAGACCGGCAUAAAUAUUGCAUCUGAUGAAUCAAACGAUGCGUAUACAAUACAGGUUGAAAAUUCUGCUUCAUGUGAUGAAAAUAAGAUAAACCCUGAAAUUCAAGGGAGGAGGAUAAUCGAUUUUCGUUUCUUCAUGGAGCAGUUAUACACCAUAGAUGAGCAUAGUGAAAGAUUUGGCUGCAGAUUCAGUCACAUUAAAAUAUUAAAAGAAAAACAGGCUGGUUUCUCGUCAACGUUUCAUGCAAAAUGUGCUAUGUGUGGAUCAAUGUUUGCUAUUAAAACAUCGGAUGACAGAGAUACAGUUAACGUUAAUUCAUCCGCAGUUUCUGGAACUAUCAUGACUGGUAUUGGCCUCUCCAAUCUUAACGAACUUGCUGCAUCUGUAGAUUUGCCGACUAUACCUUUCCGUUUAUACAGUAAAUGUCAUGACAUAGUUGAAGAUAUGUGGAAAAAUACUGCAGAAGAAACUAUGCAAAGAGCUGGACAAGAAGAAGCUGAAGCUGCAAAAUUGCGUAACGAUAUUAAUUCAGCAGGUGUUCCCAAAAUUGCAGUACAAGCCGAUGCAUGUUGGAGCAAACGGUCGUAUAAAUCAAACUAUUCCGCAUUAUCUGGAGUUGCGGCUAUCAUUGGAGAACGAUCAGGAAAGGUUCUUCAUAUAGGCGUUCGCAAUAAAUAUUGCGUGGUCUGUGCUAGGGCAAAAAAAAAGGCGUUGUUCCCAGGGUACAUAAAUGCACA